rnacentral:rRNA from 1 species
CGACGUAGGUAACCUGCCUGGUAGCGGGGGAUAACUAUUGGAAACGAUAGCUAAUACCGCAUAAUAGCAGUUAUUGCAUGAUAACUGUUUGAAAGGUGCAAUUGCAUCACUACCAGAUGGACCUGCGUUGUAUUAGCUAGUUGGUGGGGUAACGGCUUACCAAGGCGACGAUACAUAGCCGACCUGAGAGGGUGAUCGGCCACACUGGGACUGAGACACGGCCCAG